AGGAUGUAGAGCUCUGCUCCAGCUGCUUGCCUUUGACAGAUUUACGGUAAUAAAAAAUAAAUGCAAGCCACCCAAGGCCCACUCUAGCAGAAUGACAUGGAAGCACGUGUGUUGUCUGGUGAAGAGCAGCCCCACUCCACAAAACACACAGAUGUUUUUGAGAUGCAGCAGCACUGCCUUGUUUUGCAGCACAGACCUACAAAAGCUCCUCUUUAUUCAUUUCAAAUGCCGUGAUGUGGAGAGUGGCUGAUUCAUAUGAUGUGUUCCUUGGUGAAAAGAACAAAAAAUACAUAUAAAACCGGAAACCAGUGGCAGAAUUACAGCCUUUUUGGGUGCUCUAAACACACAAGAGAAAGCAAAGAGAAGCAUCCCUCAAGCCCCAAGGAUGGUUGGGGUGAACUCUCAGGAGACAGCACUGUGACCCCCACCAAAGGACAGAGCUCCAACACACACGUGCCCCAGGAUUUUACAAAGGCAGAUAAAUCUCCUGCACUCGGGUUUUUCUCCCAGCAAAAAUAAUCUGUCAAGUUAUAAACCAUUCCCCUGACCCAGUCUGGCAACUUCAUAUCCUACAAUAGCUUUUUAUUUCUCAUUGCAUAUCAUGGCAUAGACUCACAUGUUUGUGUUUCUCUAAUUGUUGUAUUGGAGAAUGCAAUUUUUCUUUUUUCUUGGUUCUACCCAAAUACUGUCUUAGUGUCAAGAUGAUGUGACAUCAUAUUUUUUUCAGAUUUCUAUACUUAAAUAUCUGCUGCUCACAUUUUAGAAGAGGACUAUGCAUCAUCCACAUAAAACAACCUAAGUGGUCAUUGCUUACAGCAGCACUGGUAUGUUAAAUAAACUCUGUGGUAGAAAAAGUUUAAGAUCCCUUUUGAAGCCUUUCCCCUAGCUUUGUUCACCAGUUUGGACAGUAGAUAUGGAUGUGAUAAAAUGUUUAGAGACAUGUAUAAUAAUGUGCAUCUCAGUUCACAAGCACAGUUAAUAUAUUCAGCUGUGUACAUGUCUAACCUCAUACUUAGAGUGUUCCAGCUUUGAUUGUUUAUGGAUUAUUACAAUUAUAUCAUUAUAUCUCUUUCUUUGAUCACAAUUUAGUGUAACACAUUAUCUUGAUUCUCAGUAACUUCCAACUUUGAUGUUAUAUUUAAUAAAAUAUAAUGCUGUGCUGAAGAA